GCAGAUCCAGCGGAUGCUGGCCCUGCUCGGCCGGUGACCGCCCGGCGGCGCGUCCGAGGGUGCGCCCGGCGGCCGGUCCGGCCCGGCGGGUCAGCG
rnacentral:tRNA from 1 species